UUACUGGGCGUAAGCGUGCGCAGGCGGUUUUGUAAGACAGAGGUGAAAUCCCCGGGCUCAACCUGGGAACUGCCUUUGUGACUGCAAGGCUGGAGUGCGGCAGAGGGGGAUGGAAUUCCGCGUGUAGCAGUGAAAUGCGUAGAUAUGCGGAGGAACACCGAUGGCGAAGGCAAUCCCCUGGGCCUGCACUGACGCUCAUGCACGAAAGCGUGGGGAGCAAACAGGAUUAGAUACCCUGGUAGUCCACGCCCUAAACGAUGUCAACUGGUUGUUGGGUCUUCACUGACUCAGUAACGAAGCUAACGCGUGAAGUUGACCGCCUGGGGAGUACGGCCGCAAGGUUGAAACUCAUGGAAUUACGG
rnacentral:rRNA from 1 species